GUAUCAUGUCAGACCCUUUCAAACUGAAUGAAUUAGAAAACGAAUGCUACCUGAGAGCAAAAGUAUGAGCCUUGGAUCCCGAGCUUGAUACAGGUUGGACAUUGAAGUUUGGCCUCGCUGCUACAGCCUUCUGUUUCGCAUUCCCGUGUCUCGAUAGCCGCCAUGCCUGCCCGCAGUCUAGAGGGGUGGAGACUGGGAGGAGUGGACGGUCUGUCGGAUGGAGAAAACCUCGCCAGCGGGAGAUAUGUGUUCCCUUUUGCAGGGACAUCACCGGAUAGAAAUUCCAAUAUGGCUGCCAACGCAAUGCCAAAUAUGGACAUUGGCCUAGCUGCAUUGGGCCGGGCUGUGAGGUGGUGGUGGUCUCUGGGUGCUGGUCUAGGCGGAGAGGCAGGAGGGGCCUGCAGUGGAGGAGUGGCUGUCGGUGUUGAGCUGGUGCCCAUGCCAGUCCAUCCCCGGGGGCCAGAGAAGGCAGAGUAGAUAGCAGCUCAGCUGCCUUGCUCUGCCCUCCCAACAGACACUGGUAGGAGGCAGCCUCAGCAACGGACUCACGAACAGGAGCAGUAACUGUGUGGGUCUCUCGGCCUCGGCCCCCAACAACCCGGAACCUGUCCGUCACUCCCGCAUCCCUGACCUACCAUUGCAUGUGCAAGGGAGAUAUAAGAGGCUUAUCCCGGCAAGAAUGUGGUAAAAAUGGGACUGUAUGGAGUGGUGAGAAGGAGGAGGAGGAGCUCCCCCACUAUUCGUGUCCAGAAGUAAUUUAGGUGCUCUGUAGAGUUUCUUAUGUAAAUUGACUUGCGACAUUCCUGGAUUACUCAUUAUACUAAUA